ensembl:misc_RNA Y_RNA Y RNA
GGCUGGUCCGAUGGCAGUGGGUUAUCAGAAUUUAUUAAUAUUAGUGUCACUAAAGUUGGUACACCCCCCCCACUGCUAAAUUUGACUGGCUUUAA